rnacentral:rRNA from 1 species
AUUGAACGCUGGCGGCAGGCCUAACACAUGCAAGUCGAGCGGAUGAAGGGAGCUUGCUCCUGGAUUCAGCGGCGGACGGGUGAGUAAUGCCUAGGAAUCUGCCUGGUAGUGGGGGAUAACGUCCGGAAACGGGCGCUAAUACCGCAUACGUCCUGAGGGAGAAAGUGGGGGAUCUCGGACCUCACGCUAUCAGAUGAGCCUAGGUCGGAUUAGCUAGUUGGUGGGGUAAAGGCCUACCAAGGCGACGAUCCGUAACUGGUCUGAGAGGAUGAUCAGUCACACUGGAACUGAGACACGGUCCAGACUCCUACGGGAGGCAGCAGUGGGGAAUAUUGGACAAUGGGCGAAAGCCUGAUCCAGCCAUGCCGCGUGUGUGAAGAAGGUCUUCGGAUUGUAAAGCACUUUAAGUUGGGAGGAAGGGCAGUAAGUUAAUACCUUGCUGUUUUGACGUUACCAACAGAAUAAGCACCGGCUAACUUCGUG